rnacentral:lncRNA from 1 species
CUCAGGCGAGGGUGUCUGUCCCUGUAGGGCAGGGCAGCUCAGGAGCAGGUAGGAGAGCGCGGCGGCAAGCUGCCGGGGCGUCCCAGCAGGGCGCGGAGAAAUGCCAGCCAUGGGACCUUGGCGCUGGGCUGCCUGGAGGGUAUCCUGUCUGCAGAGUGGCCCGUUCAGCAGCAGGUGCAGGCGGUGGAGACGGUGGCUGCUGUCCACUCUGGAGCGGGUGAGCGGACUCAACAAGAGCCCGGGGCUGCGCUUCAGCUGCGGCAGGGUAUCUUACCGACCUUCGAGCCUGGAGGGGUAACCGGGCACCGUGCAACCCUGGACUGCCUGCCUCGGACCAGUCGGUCUGGAUACUCUCCUUCCCGGGCGGCUCAACGGGAUUGUCCUCCAGGGCCCGAGACGGUGACCAUCGCCGCGUCAGUUCUGCUCCUGUGAGACACUGCGCUCCAGCGGUCCAUUCAUCCAGGCAAAGGUCUUUCUGAGAGUGGGGAGAAACCCCAUUCCUCUUCCUUACCGCUGACAAGAGUGCAUUUUCCAGCCAAAAUUGAGUCUCACUUCGGACAUGAAAGGUGCUAGAGGAGCUAUUUUGCAAAUAGGAUUUUCUAGCUGUCUGCCUGAUAAAGCAGCUUAUUCCAGAUCCUGUGAUUCCUUGCUUACAAAAUAACCCCGACAUUUCUCCUUCUCAGUUUUUUGGGGGAAGAGCACUAGCAUCCAGACUGCUGAACUUGAACAGCUUUUGUUUCUAGCCAGUGGGUCUCACAUACCACAGAACUGGAUGGACCGGAUGGCUUUUAUUUUCUUAGACCGUGAUUUCCGUAUCUGAUCAACAGUGACUGCCUGUGAGUUUAUUAGAUAUGCUUUUUCCUAAUUACUUUCUUUGUAGAAAAAUAUAUCGGUAGCCAGAGGGGAGGAUGUCAAGAGAAACAGUAACAGAGAAAAUAGUUACCACAGUUACUUGGAUCAAUUUCUGUGAAUUAACCUAUUUAACAUCUGUAAUGGAAUUUAGCUUUCACAUCUGGGAUGCCUGCCCUCCCUGGUGUGGGGUUAGGUUCUUAGCCUCAUACUCAUGUUUUAUGUAUCAGAGGUGUCCACUUAGCCACAGUGUGGAGUAAUUUCUUCCUAUAAAUAAAAUGGUAGUUACUGUGAUUUUUAGAAAGCA